CCUACGGGUGGCAGCAGUAGGGAAUCUUCCGCAAUGGACGAAAGUCUGACGGAGCAACGCCGCGUGAACGAUGAAGGCCUUCGGGUCGUAAAGUUCUGUUGUUAGGGAAGAACAAGUACCGUUCGAAUAGGGCGGUACCUUGACGGUACCUAACCAGAAAGCCACGGCUAACUACGUGCCAGCAGCCGCGGUAAUACGUAGGUGGCAAGCGUUGUCCGGAAUUAUUGGGCGUAAAGCGCGCGCAGGCGGUUCCUUAAGUCUGAUGUGAAAGCCCACGGCUCAACCGUGGAGGGUCAUUGGAAACUGGGGAACUUGAGUGCAGAAGAGGAAAGCGGAAUUCCACGUGUAGCGGUGAAAUGCGUAGAGAUGUGGAGGAACACCAGUGGCGAAGGCGGCUUUCUGGUCUGUAACUGACGCUGAGGCGCGAAAGCGUGGGGAGC
rnacentral:rRNA from 1 species